rnacentral:rRNA from 1 species
AUGGGAGCAAAGGAGAUGCUCAAAGGAAAAUGGACAAAAAUCUUUUGGAGCUCAUGUGCAACUCACACCCUCAAUUUGAUGGUGGAAGCAAUUGGGAAGCUGAAGCAAUUUGGCCCUACAAUCAUCAAAGCUAAGCAAAUGACGAUUUUUCUUUAUGCACAUCACAAAACAUUGUCCUUGAUGAGGUCUUUCACGAAAAAAAGAGACAUUGUUAGACCGGGGGUGACACGAUUUGUUUCGGCAUUUCUUACGUUGCAAAGUUUGGUUUCUAAAAAGAAAGAACUAAGGGCAAUGGUUUGUAGUGAUGAAUGGGAAGCAUGCAAGCACACGAAAACGGUGAAAGGAAAGGCGGCCAACGCCACAAUAAUGAGUAGGGGCUUUUGGAAAAAUGUAUCACUUUGCAUCAAGGUAUGUUUAUGGGGGUUGUUUACAUCUAGUCAUAUGUUGGGGUGUUUGCAUAUAUGUAUUUCUACAUUGGGGCUGUUUGCAUCUUGUCAAGUAGUCAUAGUUGUAGUUCUAACUUGUGCAUUUCUAAUGUUGGGGCUGUUUGCACGUGCUUAUAUGACUCAUUUGAUCAUUUUUAUGUUACCUUGCAAGGUUUUUGAGCCAUUGGUGAAGGUGCUUCGGUUGGCUGAUGCGGAUGGUCCAUCUAUGGCCUCUAUGUAUGGAGAACUAAUAAGUGCAAAAAGGGAAAUCAAGGUUGCUGUUGAAAAUUCAGAAAAAGACUAUUUGGUGAUCACUAAUGCCAUGAAUACCAAGAUGAGUGGGAGGCUGGAUUCUCCAUUGCACAUGAUAGCAUACAUCUUGAAUCCCAAAUAUAGUUAUGCUGACCCGAGCAUCUUUAUGGAUGUGGAGGUAGUGGCUGCGCUUAUGGAAGUCAUGGAGACAUUUUAUUAUGAUGAUGACAUCAAGCAAAAUAAGGUGUUUAACAUUGACUUCACCAAGUUUAAAAAGAAAGAGGGUAUGUUUGGGAAGGUGGCUGCAUUGAAAGCAAUGGAGAAUAACAAUUUCGAUCCCGCUGAUUGGUGGUCAACUUAUGGAUUACAAACUCCUACAUUGCAACACAUGGCCAUAAGCGUACUCAACUUGACCACAAGUUCAUCUGGAUGCGAAAGAAAUUGCAGCACUUUUGAAAUGGUAGAUGCAAAGAGGAGAAAUAAACUAGAUGUGGCCCAUAGGGUAAAUCUAGUUUAUAUCCAAUUCAAGGGAAGGAUGAUUGAUAAAAGAAAUAAGUUAUCCUCUUAUAGUGAUGUUCUUCUUGGUGAAGAUGCAUCACGAGCACAAGAAUGGAUAUGUGAAGAGGCAUACAUUGAUGAUGAGUUUGAUCCCACUACGGGGGUGCCAUACAACAUCAUUGAUGAAGCAAUGGGGGGAAGCGAACCUACAGAGCUUCGUAGGAGUGCACGAGUUAGAGAACUCCAUGAAGUUGAAGAAUACGUUGAGGAUGAUGAUGAAUCUGAUCAUGCGGUAGAUAUGGAGGAUGAUGAGAUUGAUUACGAGUCCGAUGAUGAUGGGGUGAUGGCAACCAAAGAUGAUGAUGAUGAGGAGGAGGAGGAGGAGCCCCCGCAGCCUUGA